rnacentral:rRNA from 1 species
CCUACGGGCGGCUGCAGUGAGGAAUAUUGGUCAAUGGGCGAGAGCCUGAACCAGCCAAGUCGCGUGCAGGAAGAAUGUCCUAUGGAUUGUAAACUGCUUUUGCAGGGGAAUAAAGUUCAGCACGUGUGCUGUUUUGUAUGUACUCUGCGAAUAAGGAUCGGCUAACUCCGUGCCAGCAGCCGCGGUAAUACGGAGGAUCCGAGCGUUAUCCGGAUUUAUUGGGUUUAAAGGGUGCGUAGGCGGGUUAAUAAGUCAGUGGUGAAAGUUUGCAGCUUAACUGUAAAAUUGCCGUUGAAACUGUUAAUCUUGAGUGUAGAUAAGGUAGGCGGAAUGUGUUUUGUAGCGGUGAAAUGCAUAGAUAUAACACAGAACCCCGAUUGCGAAGGCAGCUUACCGGGCUAACACUGACGCUGAUGCACGAAAGCGUGGGGAUCAAACAGGAUUAGAUACCCCAGUAGUC